GAUGAACGCUAGCGGCAGGCCUAAUACAUGCAAGUCGAACGGUGGUAGCAAUACCAUAGUGGCGCACGGGUGCGUAACACGUAACUAACCUACCUAUAACUGGGGGAUAGCCCGCCGAAAGGCGGAUUAAUACCGCAUAAGCUCUUUAGCUGGCAUCAGCUGAUUAGUAAAGAUUUAUUGGUUAUAGAUGGGGUUGCGGGUCAUUAGCUAGUUGGUUGGGUAACGGCUGACCAAGGCGACGAUGACUAGGGGAGCUGAGAGGCUGGUCCCCCACACGGGCACUGAGAUACGGGCCCGACUCCUACGGGAGGCAGCAGUAGGGAAUAUUGGGCAAUGGGCGAGAGCCUGACCCAGCCAUGCCGCGUGCAGGAAGAAGGCUUUCUGAGUCGUAAACUGCUUUUGACAGGGAAGAAUAAGCUGGUCGUGACCCAGUGAUGACGGUA
rnacentral:rRNA from 1 species